rnacentral:misc_RNA from 1 species
GAUGAGAACGUAGCGAAAUGCGAUACGUAAUGUGAAUUGCAGAAUUCAGUGAAUCAUCGAAUCUUUGAACGCACAUUGCGCCCGCCAGCACUCUGGCGGGCAUGCCUGUUCGAGCGUCAUUUCAACCAUCAAGCCCCAGGCUUGCGUUGGAGCCCUGCGGCUGCCGCAGCCUCCUAAAAGCAGUGGCGGGCUCGCUGUCACACCGAGCGUAGUAGAUUUUAUCUCGCUCAGGGCGUGCUGCGGGUUCCGGCCGUUAAACCACCUUCAUAACCCAAGGUUGACCUCGGAUCAGGUAGGAAGACCCGCUGAACUUAAGCAUAUCAAUAAGCGGAGGA